UUUUUUUUCUGGAAUCCUAGAGGAUGCACGGAUACAAUUCACCCAGUGUGUCCAUCUUUCCUCUCCUAAGUGUCAGUCUAUAGGUUUCUGACCUCUAGAGGAAUCCCUGAAGCUGUGCAGCUAUACUUUACCGGUUACGUCUAGACUAUAAAGGACCACAGUGUUCCACCUCAGGCAGGUUCAGCGACCUGCAGGUAGUGAUACAGCUGGGAAAGUUACAGAGCCUGCGGGACGCUCCGGCUGCAACUUCAGUUCUGACCAGAGGUUCUGUGAACCUUCAGGAUUUAGCAGGUUUCCAGGACCGGCUAUAGACAUUCCUAAGAAACACGCAGUCAGCUUUUGGUGAGAGUGGAAUCGAGCUAUGGAAUUGUCAUUUGGAAUCUGCUGCCAGUUUCUGAACAGUGAAGCGGGAGAGUUCUGAACAGUGAAGCAGGAGCUCUGUAUUCAGCGAGACUCUGGGGCCUGGAAAGUGGGAUUACAACAUCCAUUUUGUCUAAUUGCUUUCCUUCUUUCUUUUAUGUGGCUGCUAAAGCCCCAUGACCUUCACUAUUUAACUGCUUCAUCAGAGUGAAAGAAUUGCCUUGAUGUUCAUAAGGAUUACUUGUUUCACAC
rnacentral:antisense_RNA from 1 species